AUGUGCGGCCAUAUUUGUUGUGGAACAUACAUCUGCUUUUUUCCAUCUUGUGCAUUUUUGUGCACGAAAAAUACUCCAGUUUAAAAUGGAAUUAGGCAUUGUAAGGUUAUCGGCAAAAUGGACCUUUCUAUUAAUCGUAACUGUUUCUGUUUUCUACAGACCAACAGAUAGUGGUGCUAUUCAGAUGCAUGAUGCCAAUCUUGAUGAAGUAUUAUCUAGCAAUGAAGUAGUCUUUGUAAAUUUUUAUGCAGACUG